rnacentral:rRNA from 1 species
AGAGUUGAUCAUGGCUCAGGAUGAACGCUAGCUACAGGCUUAACACAUGCAAGUCGAGGGGCAGCAUGAACUUAGCUUGCUAAGUUUGAUGGCGACCGGCGCACGGGUGAGUAACACGUAUCCAACCUACCGUUUACUACGGAUAGCCUUCUGAAAAGGAGAUUAAUACCGUAUGGUAUUCUAAAGUUUCAUGACAUUAGAAUUAAAGGUUUACCGGUAAUCGAUGGGGAUGCGUUCCAUUAGAUAGUAGGCGGGGUAACGGCCCACCUAGUCAGCGAUGGAUAGGGGUUCGUGAGAGGAAGGUCCCCCACAUUGGAACUGAGACACGGUCCAAACUCCUACGGGAGGCAGCAGUGAGGAAUAUUGGUCAAUGGGCGAGAGCCUGAACCAGCCAAGUAGCCGUGAAGGAUGACUGCCCUAUGGGUUGUAAACUUCUUUUAUAAAGGAAUAAAGUGGUCCACGUGUGGAUUUUUGUAUGUACUUUAUGAAUAAGGAUCGGCUAACUCCGUGCCAGCAGCUGC